rnacentral:rRNA from 1 species
ACGGGGUGGUAGCAUACAUCAGUGGCGCAAGGGUGCGUAACACGUGGGCAACUGCCUGGAGUGGGGAUAGCCGCGAAAGGCGGAUUAAUACCGAAUGUGGCUAUGACGAUUGGUCGCGACGCUAAAGGUGGCGCAAGCUGCCGCUCUUGGAUGGGCCCGCGGCCUAUCAGCUAGUUGGUGAGGUAACGGCUCACCAAGGCGAUGACGGGUAGCUGGUCUGAGAGGACGACCAGCCGCACUGGAACUGAGACACGGUCCAGACACCUACGGGUGGCAGCAGUCGAGAAUUUUUCGCAAUGGGGGAAACCCUGACGGAGCGACGCCGCGUGGAGGAUGAAGGUCUUCGGAUUGUAAACUCCUGUCAUUGGUGAACAAGGUGCUUCCAUUAACUGUGGAGGUAAUUGCUAGUAGCCGAAGAGGAAGGGACGGCUAACUCUGUGCCAGCAGCCGCGGUAAUACAGAGGUCCCGAGCGUUGUUCGGAUUCAUUGGGCGUAAAGGGUGCGUAGGCGGUUGGGUAAGUUUGAAUGUGAAAUCCUGAGGCUCAAACCUGGAACUGCAUUGAAUACUGCUUGACUAGAGUACU